AUCAUACUCCCUUCGUCCUAAAAUUCUUUUCUUAGAUUUGUUUAGAUAUGAAUGUAUCUAGUCAAGUUUAGUAUUUAGAUACAUUCAUUUCUAAACAAAGUUAAGACAAAAAUUUUGGAACGGAGGGAGUAGAAU
rfam:Hordeum vulgare subsp. vulgare, WGS project CAJW01000000 data, contig: morex_contig_13040